GGCAAUGAAUUAAUUACGUUUGUACUACAUGUAAAGGAAUCACUUAUAUUGACAGAUUAAUAUCUAUCUUGUAAACUUCAUUGAUUACAUUUAAAUACAUUAAAAUAAUUAGACAAUAUCUUUAUCAAUACAUUUUUAUUACAUCUUCAUUCCUUUAUUUCACAUGACUAAAAGUACAUUUGACAAUGGUAAUAAACAAUCAAUGAACAAAACAAAAAUUGAAAUCAGAUAAUAACUGUACAACUCAACACAUACUUCUAAAUAUUUCAGACUGCACUCAUUGUGCAAAGAUUAACUGACGGUGAUGCAGGAAUUAACUAUAUCAUAUCUCAUCCUGAGCAUAUUGUUCAUCCUGAGGUUAAAAAGAUUCUCAUGAAAAAGAAUAUUGCUAAUCGUGUAUGUACUAUUAUACCAACAUUAUUUAAAAUAAAUAUGAGACAUUUAUAUAUAUGUAUAUAGCCAUAUGUCUGAUGACACUUUCAAAAGUAAUAAGGGGUAUGGUACGGAAAAUUAUUCUAACAUCAUGUACCUCAAAUGAUUGCUAUACAUUUUACUGUCAAUUUCAAACUCUGUUAUGAAAUUAAAUUUUGACCACUGUAUAAAAUUAUCCUCUUAAGUGUCCCAUUAUUCAAAUCUCUUAUUCUUUACUCCCCUAAAACCUUGAAUUUAUUAACCAUGAAAUUUGAAACAUGUAAUUAUAUAUGGAAAACAAAAAUAUAUACAAUAUACGACAAAUAAAAUAGAACAGUAGUUACAGAGUAAACAAUAAUAUUAGCACAACAUAUGUGGUAUAAUUUUCAAGCUGCAUUAAUAUGAUAGCUUAGUUUGUACCAAUUUGGCCAAGAACAUUAUUAAAAUAGGUAAAAAUUCUAUUUUGCACAGAUCUAUACACUGGACAUGAUUUAACCAAAUGAAAUUUGUCCUGUAAACAUCUUUGUCAGAUUUACUUUGACAACAUAUUCGUUACAAAUGUGUUUGGAUAUAUGUAUAAGACCACACCAAAGGUACCAGUAUUCGUUAGUGAAACAAAUUAUACAUUAGUUGUUUUCCAUUGGUUGAUUUUAAAAAUGACCACUGUGUUGUAUGGCAAGCUUACAGCCUAAUCAUCAAAUUGAAAAACUGUGGUAUUAAUGUUUUUUUAAAGUCUGAGUUUUUGUAUAGUCUUACAUUUUUGUCAUGUAGUGCAAGGCAAAUGUUGAGGAGAAUCUUCAGUAACGUGUAAUUUGAUACAAAAUUCCAACAAACCAGUUUAAUUUCAAAAUAAAUACAAAAUAAAGGGACAAACUACUUAACUACUUAAAGGGGGUGAAGAUGUAUGUAUGUUAUUUUUAAUGAUAAAAUGCAUUGUGGUCAGGCAGAUGAAAGAAAAAAAAAGUAAAACUUAAAAGUAUGAAAAAAAUAAAAUAAAAAUGCCCUUGAUGUUGAAGAGUUGAUCCGUAAAAAAAAUUCAAAUAUCAUCCAACUGAUAAAAUUACUUGUUUAUAGAUAACACAUCUUGUGGUGGAUGAAGCACAUUGCAUCCUAUCCUGGGGAAACUCUGAUUUUCGGCCUGCUUACCAGAAGCUAGGUCUACUCAGAGCUGUAAUGAAAGACUCAAACAUCUUAGCUCUAACAGCAACAGCAAAUGGCAUGUCUCAAAAAAAAUAUUUGCUCAUCACUGAGAAUGAAAGAGCCAGUAAUUAUUGUUGAAUCACCAGAUAGGUAGAGACAUAAGCUUAUUAAAAAUUUAGAAACAUGAUAUUAUAAAAUGUGAUGUGGUAUGAUUGCCAAUCAGACAACUAUCAAUCAGAGAUGAAAUGAAAAGAGCUUGACUCAUCAGAUGGAUACUUAUAAAAAAACAUUUAAACCAAAAAAUAUAGUGGAGUUGGCAAUGUACUUACACAUCCCCACAAUAAAAAGACACUAAAUCUAUAUCUGAUAUAUUGUACACACAUCUACUGACAGUUAGUUCACAGCCAAUAACAAAAUGAAAAACAUG
rnacentral:lncRNA from 1 species